GUUUAGGCCGGAAAUGGUCUAGUUCUCAGAGGUGGUCCGAUCCCUAACCAGUCCCAGGCCCAGCCCCAGCCCAGCACCACCUGGAAGGUUCAAGUACAUGGAGGAGAGGAGGCUUGGCGUAGACCGCGCACUGGAAGGCGUGCGCGCAGGUGUGCGUGACCAUGUGCUUGAAACGGCAGUAGCGCAGCGAGAAGGAUCGCCAUCACACGGCGCACUGGUGCGGCUUCUCCCCCGAGUGGAUGAACAUGUGCUUGGUGUCGUUUUUCCUUGAGCUGAACGUCUUGCAACAGUGGCCGCACGCAUAGCUGCCCCAGAUCCCGGAAGAAAAUCUCUCCCACACCACUGUAGUCAGAGAGGCCAGUGGGUGCAUGGAACUCCUCGCACGCGCUGUCAGCAGCAGCAGUGAGGAAGCCGGCAGCACAGUCUGGGAAGGAAGGAGGUGCUUGGCUCUCUCCCGGGCCGCCACCUUCGCCGUCCUCGCCAUCGGUCUCAUCGUCAGUUUCCUCGUCAUCGUUGUCACCUCGGUCGUCAGGGGCCGCGGACAGUGAGGGGUAGGCACCAAGCCCCUCGGCUUUGGCAGCUGUCGCACCGUCUGCACAGGCACCACCGAAGGCACACGGAUCUCAGAGGGGCCGAGCAGCAGCUUGUCUUGGAAGGAGGGCGAGCCGAUUGCCAGCCCGCAGCGGUGCGCACGCAGCGAAGCUUCAUGAAUGCACACAGUCACGUCGCAGAAGUGCCCACCCAGCUUCUGCCCAUUGAGGGUCUCAAGCAGAGAGCGUGAGAAGUUCUGCAGAUGUAUGUGGCGCACAGCCUCUACAGCCGCCGACUCCGACUCCUCUUCAGGCACCAGGCCUGGCCGUGGCCGCCUUCUCACCGACUCCAAGGCAGCACUUCCGGGCGCUUCUCUUUAUUUUUAUACAGUUUUAUUGAGAUAUAAUUUACAUGCUAUCCAGCCCAUCUAUUUCAAGUGUACCAUGCAAGGGGUUUGUAUAUAUUCACAGAGUUGUGUAUCCAUCACCAUCGUUUUAGAACAUUCAUCACUCCAGAAGAAACUACGUACCCAUCAGCAGCCACUGCCCAUUUCCCUGAUCUGCCCCGCCCUAGGAAAUCCGUAAUCACUUUCAGUCUAUGGAUUUGCCUAUUCUAGACCAUUCAUAUAAAUGAAGUCACACAACACUGGGUCUUAUGUGACUGGCUUCUAUCAAAGUUUGCAAGGUUCAUUUAUGUUCAUGGUAUGUAUCAGUAGCUUGUUACUUUUUAUGUUUGACUUCUAUUCUGUUACUUACCUACACCGUAUUUUAUCUAUCUCUUCUGCAGUUUAUGGGAUUUAGGUCGUUUCCACGUUUUGGCUGUUCUAAAUAAUGCUGCUCUGA
rnacentral:lncRNA from 1 species